rnacentral:rRNA from 1 species
CUGCCUGCCCAGUGACACACGUUUAACGGCCGCGGUACCCUGACCGUGCAAAGGUAGCAUAAUCACUUGUUCUUUAAAUAGGGACUCGUAUGAAUGGCAUCACGAGGGUUUAACUGUCUCUUACUUUUAACCAGUGAAAUUGACCUGUCCGUGAAGAGACGGACAUGAAACAAUAAGACGAGAAGACCCUGUGGAGCUUCAAUUUACCAGUACAACUAAAGACUACACAGACCCAUUGGUUCCUAAACUCCCAUACCUGUGCUGAAAAUUUUGGUUGGGGCGACCUCGGAGCACAACCAAACCUCCGAAGAAUCCAUGCUAAGACUACACAAGCCUAAGCAAACUAAUCCCUACAAUUGACCCAAUAAUUUGAUCAACGGAACAAGUUACCCCAGGGAUAACAGCGCAAUUCUAUUCUAGAGUCCAUAUCGACAAUAGAGUUUACGACCUCGAUGUUGGAUCAGGACAUCCUAAUGGUGCAGCAGCUGUCAAG